rnacentral:misc_RNA from 1 species
UACGAGGGGAGCAAGCGUUAUUCGGAAUUACUGGGCGUAAAGGGCGUGUAGGCGGCUUUUCAAGUCGUGUGUUAAAGACCGGUGCAUACCACCGGGGCGGCAUGCGAAACUGGAUGGCUAGAGGGUAAGAGAGAGGAGUGGAAUUCUUGGAGUAGCGGUAGAAUGCGUAGAUCUCAAGAGGAACACCGAUGGCGAAGGCAGCUCCUUGGCUUACACCUGACGCUGAGACGCGAAAGCGUGGGGAGCAAACAGG